AGCCGUCUGGGAGUUGUCCCCGCCUGCUCUGAGGAACUCUCGGCGGGACACCAGCCACUGGCGCGGCUCUCGGUCGUAGUCGCUGCACGCAGGGGACGUGGGGCACGUCUCUACCUGCGGCGCGCAGUGCAAUGCAUCUGGCCAGAUCUCAGAGUUGCAAAGGCUUUACAACUCCUACCCGGCACGGAAAGGAGACCCCAAGCGCGAUCCCAAGCGUCUACAAACCCGAGAACAGCUUUCGGCCUGCACUCGACCUCUCCCUCUGGCUUGGCUUACUUUUUAAACCACCUCCACCCCCACCGCCACCCCCGCGCGCGCCACUUCCUUCCCCCACCCCUUUCCUCCUUUUGCACCAGCUACAGAAUCGCGGCUAAGAUUCCUCCAAGAAAUUCACCAACACAACUCGGGUGGGGUUGGGGGGGGGGGUGACCUGACUAUCCUAAGAUGCCUGGCCUGUUCUAACCUCGGAAGCGCAACUCUUGUUCCAACAGGUCUUUGCACGGGGUCCAUCCGAGGACCGGAGUCCCAGGACUCCCCCGCUCCAGAGCCCGCUCCACCCCGCCUCUUUGCCUCACUUAGGAACUCGACGUGUCCAGCUGGUUUUCAACCUAACCUCUCCCCCCCCCCCGCACCGGCCCCAGUUUUCGAGGCGGGGGGCACUUUCGGGAAACCUUUGAGAAAGAAGUGUAAAGGAUGGAGAGUCACGUCCUUCCUGGCGGCGGUGGCUGCCCAGCGCCAUCCCACACUGCUGCCCUGGGUGCAGAGACCGCGGGCGCCCCUGAGCGACAGUCCGCUCUCACCACCAUCAGCGCAGCUUUCUGAGACGAUUUCUCUAUUCCCCGACCAGCGUCGCCGCUGGGAAUAACUGGGAAAGCGCUGGAAAGGGCAAAGGGCUUAUUGUUGAUUUGUUUAUUUGCUUUUAAGGGGGAAAGAGAUGGCGAUAUGCUAGCGACUGGCGCACGCGGAGCGAGGGCACCGUGGAACCGCCGACGCUCAGGAUCCCCGGACAAUCCUGUGCCUUUGGCGGUGUGUGGAGCGCUCUCGACGUUAAAGCCCAGUAAAUAGACGAAGGACUUGUUUCAAUUUCAACUUCACAAGGAUCCCUUUCUAAUCACUCCUUUCUUCCCUGAUUUUUUUUAAUUAAAAAAUACAGAUCAAAGUAAA
rnacentral:lncRNA from 1 species